AGAGUUUGAUCAUGGCUCAGAACGAACGCUGGCCGUCUGUUUACAACCUGCAAGUCGAACGAGAAACCUUGGGCUUGCUCGAGGAAGUAAAGUGGCGCAUGGGUGAGUAACGCGUGGGUAACCUGCCCUUGAAACCGGGAUAACUUCGCGAAAGCGUUGCUAAUACCGGAUAUUGUUCUAUUAGCUGUGGCUUUUGGAAUGAAAGGUGACCUCUUCAUGAAAGUUGCCGUUUAAGGAUGGGCCCGCGUACCAUUAGCUUGUUGGUGGGGUAAUGGCCUACCAAGGCUACGAUGGUUAGCUGGUCUGAGAGGAUGAUCAGCCACACUGGAACUGAAACACGGUCCAGACUCCUACGGGAGGCAGCAGUGGGGAAUUUUGCGCAAUGGGGGAAACCCUGACGCAGCAACGCCGCGUGAGUGAAGAAGGCUCUCGGGUCGUAAAGCUCUGUCAAGUGGGAAAAAAUUCUUUUGAUUAAUAGUCUAAAGAAUUGAUGGUACCACUAGAGGAAGCACCGGCUAACUCCGUGCCAGCAGCCGCGGUAAUACGGAGGGUGCAAGCGUUGUUCGGAAUUAUUGGGCGUAAAGAGCGUGUAGGCGGGUUGGUAAGUCAGAUGUGAAAGCCCUGGGCUUAACCCAGGAAGUGCAUUUGAAACUGCCAUCCUUGAGUAUGGGAGAGGAGAGUGGAAUUCCCAGUGUAGAGGUGAAAUUCGUAGAUAUUGGGAGGAACACCGGUGGCGAAGGCGACUCUCUGGACCAAUACUGACGCUGAGACGCGAAAGCGUGGGGAGCAAACAGGAUUAGAUACCCUGGUAGUCCACGCCGUAAACGAUGAGAACUAGGUGUAGCGGGUAUUGACCCCUGCUGUGCCGUAGUUAACGCAUUAAGUUCUCCGCCUGGGGAGUACGGCCGCAAGGCUAAAACUCAAAGGAAUUGACGGGGGCCCGCACAAGCGGUGGAGCAUGUGGUUUAAUUCGACGCAACGCGAAGAACCUUACCUGGGUUUGACAUCCUCUGACCGCCUCGGAAACGGGGUUUUUCCGACUCUGUCGGAACAGAGUGACAGGUGCUGCAUGGCUGUCGUCAGCUCGUGUCGUGAGAUGUUGGGUUAAGUCCCGCAACGAGCGUAACCCUUGUCUUUAGUUGCCAGUAUUAAGUUAGGCACUCUAGAGAGACUGCCUCGGUUAACGGGGAGGAAGGUGAGGAUGACGUCAAGUCCUCAUGGCCUUUAUACCCAGGGCUACACACGUGCUACAAUGGGCUGUACAAAGGGUCGCUACUCCGCGAGGAGAAGCUAAUCCCAAAAAGCAGUUCUCAGUUCGGAUUGGAGUCUGCAACUCGACUCCAUGAAGUUGGAAUCGCUAGUAAUCGUGGAUCAGCAUGCCACGGUGAAUACGUUCCCGGGCCUUGUACACACCGCCCGUCACACCACGAAAGUCGACUGUACCAGAAGUUGCUGGGCUAACCCGUCGCUCAACUGAGCGCUUGUUUAUAAAAGCAGGAGAAGAUGAUUCUUUGCUGCUAACUAGCGCCCAUCCAUAAAUGAGGUUUUUUUGUUCAAGAUCAAGGCAUGCGAAAAAAAAUAAUCGGAGGCAUAUAUAUAAUAUUCCGAGGAAUAUUUUUCGCAUAACGCAGAGAUUGGUCAAAAAGGCCGUUUAUGGAUGGGCACUAACUAAACCGGUGUUGAGUUGAGUGACGGGAGGCAGGUACCUAAGGUAUGGCCGGUAAUUGGGGUGAAGUCGUAACAAGGUA
rnacentral:rRNA from 1 species